AUUAAGGUGGCAGAGCCAGGUAAGUGCAAAAGACCUAAGAUCUUUCUUACAGAUGUUCAAAUCAUCUCCUUAAUC
rnacentral:tRNA from 1 species